AACUGGUCUGCCUCCCGCCAGUUGGGAUUCUUAACCUAGUUAUGUUUAUUUGAAUAUUUAUUUAUCAUUGUUUAUUUGCAUUAGUCCUUAAAAGCCCUAAUGGGGAGUGCCCAAUUAAGAACACUUUUUUUUUUACACACAAUCAAAGAGACUUUGGUUGAAAUUCUGACAGCCUAGUGUGAAUCUUGUAAAAUAAUUAUCUGUGACAUGAAAAGAUUUGAAAUUCAGACAGGACCUGCAUAAUCCCUCAUAGUUUAACAGUUUAUACCCUAACAGGACCUUUUUUGGCAACGGGGGAGGCAGUGGAUACUUGAUAAGAGACAGUCCUGUCUUUUCAGCAUUUUGAAAAGACCUGUUAGUAGGCCAAAAAGUGAAUUACUGCAGCUGCAUUCUCAGAGCCCAGUGACUAUCUUGAUAUGCAGUAUUGGGGUUCAUUUAACCAUUCCAAGCAUAGAGGUGCCUCAUCAGGAGCCCUUCACUAGGACCGUGCAACUCCCAUACUAAACCUAUAUAUGUCACCACAUUUUUACAGACCGGUCUAUUCUUAGACUUCUUUUCCCACAAAAUAGGUCAGUGCAGUCUAUAGGGGUGCACAUCAGUAAAGAAAAAAAUGGCAGCCUUAAAUGGACAUGUUGACUUGAUCUUAUAGUGAAAUGAUGAUGUCAGUUAAAAAUUAAGCCCGUACUAGUGAUUGGUCACUGAGGUUCCUGCUGGUGUUUUAAUUUGCGGUAAAUUCAAACUAAAAAUAGAUUGAUCUGUGAAAACACUGUGACAGGAAUACGGGGUAGUUUCACGCUGAUGGGCUCCUGGCCCCGUUAAUGCUUCCCACCACCCUACCCCCUACCUGAGAGUCAGUGUUGUCACACCCAUACCAGGGAAGACAGCAGCAAAAACAUAUUGUGCUUUUGUUGUCGUUGUUUUCUUUUUAACGGAAACUUCUAAAGGAACUUUAAAUAGCAGCCAAAGGUUUUAGUGUAAAAAUGUGGCAAGAUUUUUCAUCGUUCUAGGCCGUUUUAACCUCGUUCCCAGGGCCUUUUCCCUGCCCUGGGAACUUCUCCCAGUGACUGGGAGACUGGCAAUAGUGGGUGAAGUCGUUACCAGGCUUUCUCCAAUGUUCAAUCCAAGAUGGCGAAGUUGACCCGUCUGUCUGGCUGGAUACAUAACAACAACUCUGUGCAAUGUCAUGUAAAGAUUACUUAAUCUCGAGCCAAGCCAUUCUUUAAUUUCUGUAAUCCCUCCUUAUCCUGAGAACUGGUUGCCUCGCAGUAGGCUACACUGGAUUAUAAGAGGUCCUGAAAUAUAGAGAGUUCUGCUGCCAUCAGAUGACUUCCUGUGUUUCUCGGGGUCUGUUGGUUUCCUUCUGCAGCUCUUCCUUGCUGCUUGCUUACAACUUCAGUGCUCCUGUGUGCAAACAUAGAAACAGUGAAUAAUGCAGUGACAAGUGGAGUUUAUGGCGUGACUGACGUUACACGCAGGAAGUUGAAAGCGUGACUAACAUCACGUACACGAGCACACGAUUAUUGCAAGCGUAAAUGGCAUCACACAGGUUUUUGAAGGCGUGAGUGAUAGAGGGUUGAUGGCAUGAACCGAGGGGAUUGUUGUCGUGACUGACUUGACACACAGACGGUUGAUUGGAUAUCGCAGUGGAAAGACUGCAAGAGUCUGAAUGCAACGUGGCACGUUUUUUCACAUGUCCAGAGAUGACGCGGAAACCACAGCCGUCACGAGGUAUUCAGUCAAGAAAAGCAGUAAGGUCUGGACGAGCUGUUGAUGAUGUCAUUUUGGGUUGAUCAUACACCACGUGUGUCUUAAAGUAACUUGCCGGUACGUUAAUAUAUCUACCGUAUGUACUAGAUACAAGUUAGAUAUCUCUUGCUUCUGAGAAUUUUUUUUUUUAACCGUGUUGUGUAGCAAAAACUAAAUUUUUUUGGAGGAGUUGAAAAUUUGAACUUGAUAAAUAAUAUUUUGCUACUGUAAAGGGACGGCAAAGGUUUGCAAGAACAAAACAGAAAUGAGGAUGGACAGGACUGGGAAAGAUUUAGACCGAUAACAUUUCAAAUCUGUAGAUUCCUUAUUUCACAUGUUUCUGAUGUAACUCCUUAUCAGUACUAAGAGACCUAUCACAUUUUUCGUUAUAUAUUUUUUUAAAUACUCAGUUUGUUUCAUUCUUUGGAAAAAUGGGAUUUUGCCUGUGCUUUUUCCCGUAACAUGUAUAAUAGUGAUGAUAAGCUAAGGAAGAAAUUAUCGUUUGUUUACGUAAGGGAAGGUAUUCCUUACAUUGGCGAUCUGAAAUGUAACUUGUCUACACGGAUUGAAAACUAGGACUUUUAUUUUGGCCUGGUUAAAACAUUGAUAUUUUUCCUGCUCAAGUUUCAUUGGCUCUGUGUAAAAGAAAAAAAAUACAAUUUUCAUUUCCUUAAUCGAGUGGACAAGAGCUCUGAAUUUUUCUUUCCUUAAAAUAGUUGGUUUACAAGCCGAGACGGAAGUUUACCGAUUUUUUAACAACAGACGUGACUGUUAAUGAUACAGAAAACCUGCGAAAUUCAAAGUCAUUCAAAUUGUUUAUUUCAAUAACAUCAACAAUACAUAUGAUAAUACAUAUACAUAUCAGUUUAAUUUACAUGUUUUCGGCUCGGUUCGCGGCUCGGUUGCAGGGUUCUAUCACGUUCAUUUAGCUCAUAGUCUAGUUCUACAACUACAGGUGAAGGCGAUGGAGUGUUGUUUACAACAAACGGCAGGAUAAAGCUUUACUGGAUUUUGUUAAUAUUGCCGUUACACAACAAGGCCGCCGCUAUCAGAGGAAAAUAACAAAACGUUCGUAAAGUAAGGUUUUAUUUUAAUCAUAUCUUAAGAAUAUGGCUGCGGACAUAUGACGAAGAGUGUCGGAAUUGGUUUUAUUUAACUCUGAUAACGAGUGCACUGUUGUUUAUUGUACGCGAAAGAAAUGUACACAUUUUUAUUGUAUUCUCUUUGUAAUAAUAUUACUAAAUAAAUUACUUUUAUCACUCUACAAACUUAUGUCAGUUUACUGAAAGUUAUCCUUACAAGACUCUUUUGCAGAUGCCUGACAAAUGACGAGUCACAGAAAAGAUAAAAUUGGAAGGGCGGUAAAAACUGAUGUUGAAAACCGCCACCUCCCCGCCACCACCACUAACUAGCAUUUUUUAUACUUCAUAGCAAGAGUUUAGAGCUCCCAUCCGUGUGGUACAGUGGCCUCUAAUACGCAUGCGUACUAGGUGAGUGCCUUAUCUGUAAGACGUCGAGCAUACUUUGUGUGGUACCUGUAAGUAACUGAUAACUUCGUGUUGUGUAACCCGAAAUUUGAACUUCGGUUUUAAACUUCGGGUUACACAACACGAAGUUACCAGUUACUUACAGUUACCCCACAGAGUAUACUCGACUUCUUACAACUAAGACGCUCGCCUAGUACGCAUGCGUAUUAGAGGCUACAAUACCACAAGGAUGAGAACUCUUAAACCUUGUUAUAAAGUAUAAAAGAAA